rnacentral:misc_RNA from 1 species
GUAGAAGAACCAGUCCACAUGGCCCUUGUUGAGAUCCUGAGGUAUCCACCCAGGCCGGCCGCCUCUACAGGUGAUGGCCAUCACCAGAGUGACGAGGAGGCUGCUCGCGAAGCUCCCGGCCGACAUGGAGGCCACGCUCAUGGCGCUCCCGAGGCUCCUCAGGCCUUCCGGGAGCUGGUCGUUGAAGAACUCUGUCAUGGUGACGUACAUGAACACCUCGGACGCUCCGAUCAGCAGGUACUGCGGGAUCUGCCAGAGGAUGCUGAGAGAGCUGGACGCGUCGACGCCGGCCGUGGCGCGCGCCAGCCUCUGCUGCUCCACCACGCCGGACGCGACCAUGGCCGCGGCCGAGAUCACGAGCCCGGUGCCCAUCCUCUGGAGCUCCGUCGGCUCGUGCGAUAUUUUGGCCAUGACCCUGACGAUGCAGAAGCGGUAGAUGAACACGAAGGCCGUGACGCCCAGUAUCUCGAAGACGUCCAUGCCGGCGGGAGGGAUCGUCAGCUUCGACAGGGAGUCGUCCAUGGUCUGCGCCUGCUCGAUGAACACCGACGACAUCUGCGAGUAGGAGGUGGAGUAGAGGAUGCUGCAGAGCCAGAUCGGGACUAGCCUCAGGAUGCACUUCAGUUCUUCCACUUGGGUCAGUGUGCAGAGCCUCCAUGGGUUGGGCUUGGAGGAGGAAUGGCCCUGUGGUUGACCUGCCGGUGCUCGGAACGCAGACGCUGGAUCUUUG